UUGCAAAUAUGCUCUCUGUUCUGAUUUUGUAAUAAUCAGGACAGGCUGAACGUUUGCUAUAUUGACUAUGUUUGUGUCCCCAAAUCUGGUCUGUCUUCAUCAAUGCUGGUGUGAAAG